rnacentral:tRNA from 1 species
GGUAAAAUGGCUGAGCCAGGCGGUGGAUUGUAGACCCAUAUACAGAGGUUGGAGCCCUCUUUUUACCA